ensembl:snRNA U4 U4 spliceosomal RNA
GGCUUUGUGCAGUGGCAGUGUUGUAAUUAAUGAGGUUCUUCCAAGAUGUGAUUAUUGCUAAUUAAAAACAUUCCCCAAUACCCUGCUGUAAUGACUUGCAUUAGAGUGGCACUGGCAAUUUUGACAGUAUCUACAGAGAU